GCUGCUGUAGCUCAGUGGUAGAGCACUCCCUUGGUAAGGGAGAGGUCGCGAGUUCAAUCCUCGCCAGCAGCA
rfam:Fulvimarina manganoxydans strain CGMCC 1.10972 genome assembly, contig: Ga0171588_102